GAACGACGUAAGCAAUGUUGUUGUAGAGAGAGAGAGCGAGAGAGAGAGAGAGAGAGAGAGAGAGAGAGAGAGAGAGAGAGAGAGAGAGAGAGAGAGAGAGAGAGAGAGAGAGAGAGAGAGAGAGAGAGAGAGAGAGAGAGAGAGAGAGAGAGAGAGAGGGAGAGAGAGAGAGCGAGAGAGCGAGCGAGCGAAAGAGAGAGAGAGAAAGAGAGAGAACAUAAAUACUUUUAAUGUGAAAUAGGAAAAGCACACAUCUGCUCCGGAACAGCGACAAGACGGAAGAGUCUGUUCUCCUCAACAACAUGGCUAUCCUAGAAGAUCCACAUUAACACACAGUCUCACACACACACACACACACACACACACACACACACACACACACACACACACACACACACACACACACACACACACACACACACACACACACACACACACAGACUGAAGACAGUGUGUGGGGGGGGGGUGCUGCCCAUGAAUUCACCAAACACCUCCGUGAAUAUCAGACACUGUGUGAAUGGGUUCGCGUGUUUUGUCGAUCUGUUUUAUAUAGAGCAAUAAAAUGAACGGUAUCAGUAAUCACAGUUCCACUAUGGAAGGGCUGCUCAGUCCACGUUAUGCAGAACUCCCUUACCCUAACCCUUACCCUAUUAUACAGAACUCCCUUACACUAACCCAUACCCUAGGCCUCUAAAGGAAGAAAUAUAUCGAAC
ensembl:lncRNA